rnacentral:rRNA from 1 species
UACAGAGGUCUCAAGCGUUGUUCGGAUUCAUUGGGCGUAAAGGGUGCGUAGGUGGCGCCAUAAGUCGGGUGUGAAAUCUCGGGGCUUAACUCCGAAACUGCAUUCGAUACUGUGGUGCUUGAGGACUGGAGAGGAGACUGGGAUUCAUGGUGUAGCAGUGAAAUGCGUAGAGAUCAUGAGGAAGACCAGUGGCGAAGGCGGGUCUCUGGACAGUUCCUGACACUGAGGCACGAAGGCCAGGGGAGCAAACGGG